rnacentral:rRNA from 1 species
GACGAACGCUGGCGGCGUGCUUAACACAUGCAAGUCGAACGGAAAGGCCCUGCUUUUGUGGGGUGCUCGAGUGGCGAACGGGUGAGUAACACGUGGGUAACCUGCCCUUGACUUUGGGAUAACUUCAGGAAACUGGGGCUAAUACCGGAUAGGAGCUCCUGCUGCGUGGUGGGGGUUGGAAAGUUUCGGCGGUUGGGGAUGGUCUCGCGGCUUAUCAGCUUGUUGGUGGGGUAGUGGCUUACCAAGGCUUUGACGGGUAGCCGGCCUGAGAGGGUGACCGGCCACAUUGGGACUGAGAUACGGCCCAGACUCCUACGGGAGGCAGCAGUGGGGAAUAUUGCACAAUGGGCGGAAGCCUGAGGCAGCAACGCCGCGUGCGGGAUGACGGCCUUCGGGUUGUAAACCGCUGUCGCCGGUGACGAAGCGUGAGUGACGGUAAUGGGUAAAGAAGCACCGGCUAACUACGUG